GAGCUGGAACUUAGUGGUAGAACGCUUGCCUAGCAUGCAUGAGGCACUGGGUUCAAUCCUCAGCACCACA
rnacentral:tRNA from 1 species